GCCAGCGUAGCUCAAUUGGCAGAGCAACUGAUUUGUAAUCAGUAGGUCCGCGGUUCUAAAAAAGCGCACCUUGAUG
rnacentral:tRNA from 1 species